UAGAGUUUGAUCCUGGCUCAAAAUCUGCGCUGGCGGCGUGCCUAACACAUGCAAGUCGGACGAGAAAGUGGACCAAUCCAUGAGUAGAGUGGCGCACGGGUGGAUAACUCGUGACUAACCUACCCAGGAGUGGGGGAUAACUGAGGGAAACCUUAUGUAAUACCGCGUAACACCUACGGGACGAAUGAGCAAUUCCCUUCUGGAGGGAGGUACGGCCGAUUAGUUAGUUGCUAGGGUGGUCGGGUGCCAAGACAAUGAUCGGAAUCCGGUCAGAUGAGGCGCACCGACACGCUGCGGAAUGAAGGAGGGUCCCCAGUUCCUGCGGACAGGAUCGAAUGAGAAUUUGUGAGCGAUGGGCAGGAGCGGCAACGGUCAUCGGGUGCUGUANNGCUUACGAAUCUCGNUGUGGAAACGGGGAUGGAUGGCAGGAGGAAGUGAGUGGAUCAUUUAGNGGGAGGGCUGGUGUCCUGUUACGCAGCGAGUGCACGGGUANCGAUGGACGGUCGNUGGANUGGCGGGCGCGAAGGCGCGCACGCUGGGUAGGUAAUCGNGUUGUGUAUUNCUCGUCUGACGCCGGACGGGGGCCUGGNGUCAUUCGGGCCAGUGGAGACGGAGAAUUGNGCUGUUGGCCGUACCGAGAGUUGCGCUAUGUAGCGGGCGGCGNACGCACUGGGAAAUGUUUGCUGCCGUUGCCCGCCCGGGCGGGUCACUGCGUUGGUUCGCAGUGCGAGACAGUCCCGUCUGCUCCGUCGGCUGGUGAGAUUUAGUUUGGUAUCGCGCAUGAGGAGCCGCGGGUCUCCGGCAGUGGGGUUGUCUGUAC
rnacentral:rRNA from 1 species